ensembl:rRNA 5S_rRNA 5S ribosomal RNA
GUCUAUGGCCAUACCACCCUGAACGCGCCCGAUCUCGUCUGAUCUCGGAAGCUAAGCAGGGUCGGGCCUGGUUAGUACUUGGAUGGGAGAAGAAUUUUUAAAUAGAUAUAGAAU